rnacentral:lncRNA from 1 species
CAAGGCUGGUAUUUGAAGAGACUUGCAAAUAGAUUAAAAAGUAAAAUAAAACAUUCAGCAAAAAAAAAGUGUCGUACAUCGACCUAGAACUAGGAGACGUCUAACGUCUUCUUGCCUCCGAAAGCAGAACGUGGGCGUUUGACUUAGACGACUUCCGUCUCCAGCGGAAACCAUCUUUGAUUUGUUAGUAGAAACUAUCAUUGUCGAACUUAAAACACCACCUAAUCGAUAUAUGUCUCUGUGAGCACAAAACUGAAGAGCAAAACGUAAGUUAUAUCAGUGUGAUGCUGCUUGAAGGAGUUCAUUCUUUGAUUCGUCCUUACCAUAAGAUUUUUGAUCUAAGCUCCACAAUAGAAUCCAUUCAACUCCAAAAUCAGAAAGAGCGAAAGCGUGCAUGCCACAAUGAAACUGCUACAUAAGGUGAGACUCUCACAUCUCAUACCAACUUCAAAAAUAUAUAAAAGUCAUACCUUUGAUGAAUAUACAAACUAAAGAACUAGAAACAACAAACUCACAAAAAGCUGAACGGGUCAGUAUCCAUACAAAAGUCUUUCAGCUCUAACUCUUCACUCCAGUAGCUUCCAUAACUCUUUCAAGCAUCACCUCUUUAGCUUUUAACUAUCUGAGCUAAUGAUAGAGUUUGGAUAUCUCUAACUCCUCAAUCAAACCAGAAUACAAGAUAGAACAAUGAAUACAAGAUAGCUUUGCAGAUUCCGAUCACAAUCACCUUCUCAUGGCGAAGAUGACUGAUCACGACGAUCUCAUGGCGACCGUGCCGAGACUCAUGGCGUCUACGAACAACAACAUACAAAGCAUGAAACUCCUCUGCAUCAAAAGCUUCCUCUUUAUACUCUCCAUCUUCAUGCAGCUGCCUCCUUCUCACUAACGGCAAAGCUUCUGAACCAGUUAGAAGGUCUCCUUCACUCUGAUUCCUUGUCCCAGUCAGCUUCCUCAUUUUCCACGUCAGCAUAUAGAAUAGGUAUCUAUCAGCUUUGGAAGCAUUGAAAUCAAUCAACGUCUUGACUUAAUACAAA